UGGCUCAGAACGAACGCUGGCGGCAGGCUUAACACAUGCAAGUCGAACGCCCCGCAAGGGGAGUGGCAGACGGGUGAGUAACGCGUGGGAAUCUACCGUGCCCUGCGGAAUAGCUCCGGGAAACUGGAAUUAAUACCGCAUACGCCCUACGGGGGAAAGAUUUAUCGGGGUAUGAUGAGCCCGCGUUGGAUUAGCUAGUUGGUGGGGUAAAGGCCUACCAAGGCGACGAUCCAUAGCUGGUCUGAGAGGAUGAUCAGCCACAUUGGGACUGAGACACGGCCCAAACUCCUACGGGAGGCAGCAGUGGGGAAUAUUGGACAAUGGGCGCAAGCCUGAUCCAGCCAUGCCGCGUGAGUGAUGAAGGCCUUAGGGUUGUAAAGCUCUUUCACCGGAGAAGAUAAUGACGGU
rnacentral:rRNA from 1 species